UUAGUGCAGUUCAUAUGUGAUAGCGUUUUAACAAGUGUUGCCUAUUGUCAGUACAAAUUCUUUAUUCUAGAUAAUGCGAUCAAAGUCAAAAUUUAAAUCUUUCAGUUAAAUCAGUGUUAAAAAGCAUUGUAAAAAAUACGGUUUUUGCAAACCGUGGAUUAAAAGUUGUUUGGUGCCUUGAAUAUGCUACCUUUCCGACGUCUUCAUGUAGCAGGUGCUCAAACUGCAUGAAGGCCAUGUCAAAUCAGUCCAGAUAAGCUCCGGUUCACCCUGGAGGACCCGGAGAGAUUUCGAUCACUUGUUCCCUAUUGAUGGACGCAGCGAAUGCACUAGGCCCACCCUCACUGGUUGUGAGUGCAGGCUCCUGGACAUGAAAGACAGCACUCCAGUUGUAAACUGGUAAAGUUCCAGAAACCAUUAGUAUACUUGUAUAAAUAGUCAUACUUUUUGUGAACAAACUUGAUGAUGUCUUCUGUAUUUUAUUUUGUUUUUUGUCAUCAGAUAUGCUGUACAAAUAAAGGUCCCCCGCAACAAUAUCUCUCCUCAAUUAUUUCAGACUUCCAGGCAGGCUUAUGAAGCAUGUAUUGUGUAUUGUUCAAUUUUCCAUUCAGCAUUUAUCUUCUAAAGAUACCUCUUCAUGCCAUCACCACACCUUUCUGCUGCUGUAUUACCACAUCUUUGCCACUAGAUGGAAACAGAGUUUAUAUAAAAGUCAAUUUUAGCGUCCAGUCCUGUAGUUUUCCUUUCAUUU